UGAAGUGGGAUAUCCCACAAUACCCUGCUGAAACCUUGCCAGCAUUUGCAAACAAAUAAUGGAAGUGGAAGCUCACACUUCAAUAAAAAAAAUCCACAAAACAAAUGUCUAAUUGAAUUAAAUGUGGUAUUUUGGUGUGAAAAGUCUCAGUGGGGGAAUUAUGUAGCCUAUUUUCUUUUGGGCAUCGAGUUAGUUUAAUGUCUUUACUUCUUUUCUUUUUUAAACCAGUAUAAAGUAAGAAGAGGGUGGUGGUCUUAUAGCUUUAAAAUGGGAAGAAAUAUGUAAAAUAGGUUUCACUAACACACGUUUCUAGAAAUGAGCAGCCAUAGGUCGAGUGAGUCCCCUGCUGAGUGCCGGUUACUGGAGGAGGAGGAGCGGCGGCGUAUUUCCCCCUGAGAGUCUUUCCGGAAACAAGUUUGUUCUGAGUCAAAAGAUUGAGUAACAACGGCUCUGCCCCGGUGACUAACCUAGCCACGCGAGGGAAUCCCGGCAGGUGAUUGGACAAUACUGGCUUUACCACGUCACUCAGGAUCGUCAAUAUAACUUGUGCGGAGCGAGUCGCUGUUUCAAAUCCCAGCUGUUGUGAGAUUUGUACAUGUCGAGGACCCAAGAAAACAACAAGAUGUCACUACAUGAAAACACAAUGGACAGCUCACCUGUGGAGAGAUCUCAGACUACACACAGCAGACAGACACACAGACUGUAUCCAUCACUACGAAAGUACAGAGACGAGGUUGGUGUGGCGGACCACUCCACUGGAGAAAAGCUUCACACAGCUGCAGGGUAUCAUCCCAACAGCCUGCGCAGAGACACUCAGUCAGGAGCGUCGGCUGCCGGCAGUGACAUCAGAAUGAAAGCCCAGAUACUUAUCUUGGAGAGGAAAAUGCACGAGCUUCUCUGUAUUAAUGAGAAAUGGGCUAUAGAGUACUACGCCAUGAAAGAGAAGGUCCAAGACUUACAAGCAUUACUGCAAGGCGAUCACUCGGCAGCGGAGAAGUGUGGAGAAGGAGAAAAGAACGUCACGUUAAACGAGAAAGUCACAGAAGAAGAGAACACAUGGAUUGUGGAGGAGUUACUAAAAGCAGAAAAGAAGGCGACGGAGCUGCGAGCACAAAACGACACUCAGACCCGAAGAUUGCAUCAUCAGGAAGAGGAGAUCAGAAGAUUGAACAAGGCUUUAAAGGAGGCAAGUCAGACUACUCAACCUCUCGAUGUCUGGGAACAGCAGGCAGAAGUCUACAAGGAAGACUUCUUGACUGAGCGCAAGGACAGGGAGAAGCUUAAAAGCAAAUACCUGGAACUAGAGAUGAAGUUUAGAAAAGUUCACAGUGAGCUACAUGCCCUCAAAUCUCAGGCGACUCGGACACCGCGGCCUGUACCUGAAUGCACCUGCACAGAUCGAGCUACAAGUCCGAACUGGGAGGUCCGCCAGAUUAACCAUAACUACAUCCAGUUGCAAAGACGUUGCACACUUGAUAACAAAUCGUGAAAUUCAACGACCUCCUCGCCCUUUGUGGACGUCUCCGAUCACAGUUCAUCAGUAGCAUUGUGAGACUUUAGUUUAUCAAGCAGCACAACAUCAAGGAAGUGAGCUCUGUUCCGUUUCAGUCCUCGGCCGACGGCUCUGCUGCAGGUUCAGCUUCAGGUUCAGCUUCAGGUAGUUUUCGUCGUGGUCGUAAUCCACCAUUUGGAGACCUUGGAAUCAAAUACAUAAAAAAGACACUUAAAGGGCCGGUGAAAUAGAAAUGUGACACUCGAGUAGAAACACUUCCCACGAGGAGAAAAGCAGCAAAGAGUGAGAUAAAAUACUCUAACCCGUUGUGUGCAAAGUUUUCUACGUAAGCCAUUGCGAGCUUGCUCAGUUCCUCCUCUUCGUGUGACACAGGUCCUUUCGGGAGAUAUGAUUUAUUGCACUGCACCAAACACCAUCGACUUCAUCAAAAGUGCGACACAAUGGGAUCUUCCUAAUUCAAGUACCUGUAACCACGGUUUGUACGGUACAAAAGGAGGAUACGAGAAAAAACAAAGCAUCGUCGUAGUGGUCUUGUCGUGCACAGGAGGAGGAAUUAGAAUCAUCAAUCAAGUCGUGUUCUGAUGACGAGAGCUGUGAAAGGAUUCUGAGUCACCGUAAAGCACCUCUGUGGUAUGCAGCCACUUUUAGAACAGGAAGAAUGAGCACCAUGUCGCCAAGAAUCUCUGUGAAAGUGUCCCGUACGUUCUCCGGAGAGUCAUCCUGUCGCAGGUAUUCAUUCAGUAUUAGUUUGUUUGCACCUGACGCCUGUCAGAGGAAAGACAGAUAGGUUGUGGAAGAAAUAAAUAAAUAUAUAGGAAUGUUCAUUUUUACAGUAUGUGUGUGGAUACUUAGGUUUGUUUGUUGCCUGUUUCUUGUGUAUUUAUCAUGACAAUAAAGCAUUGGACGUACAUGUGUGUUGGAUGUCACUUACACGGGAGGGGAAGAACAUGUUCAUCACUGAUAUCACAUCUUCCCUCUUCAUACCUUGAUCCCAUCCAGUAGGUCCGAGGAGCUAAUCACAAGUACAUGUAGUAUGUCAAGGAAAAUAAGCAGAAAUUUAGAAACACUUUAUUAUCAAUGUGUCACUUGGGAAAUUACCAAAAGCUCUAACAAUACACAUGUUACAUUGUAAGUGAGUGCUAGUGUCCUGCAUAACACAAAUAAAAAAAACAGUCUUGAGAGUGUACCUGUGGGAGCAUCCAUCCAAACUCAUGAGUGGUCACUCCGAUCAGCUUAGGAACUUUCUGGAAUUCUUUGUCCUUUAAACGUCUUCAGGUGGGCCUUUCAGGAACACUCCGUCAAUAGCUGGACCCAAAAAUGCCUUAAACUGAAAUAUAAAUAAUUCUGAUAAAAGCCCUUCCCUU
ensembl:lncRNA TNFAIP3-interacting protein 3-like